rnacentral:rRNA from 1 species
AUUGAACGCUGGCGGCAGGCCUAACACAUGCAAGUCGAGCGGAUGAAGGGAGCUUGCUCCUGGAUUCAGCGGCGGACGGGUGAGUAAUGCCUAGGAAUCUGCCUGGUAGGGGGGGAUAACGUCCGGAAACGGGCGCUAAUACCGCAUGCGUCCUGAGGGAGAAAGUGGGGGAUCUUCGGACCUCACGCUAUCAGAUGAGCCUAGGUCGGAUUAGCUAGUUGGUGGGGUAAAGGCCUACCAAGGCGACGAUCCGUAACUGGUCUGAGAGGAUGAUCAGGCACACUGGAACUGAGACACGGUACAGACUCCUACGGGAGGCAGCAGUGGGGAAUAUUGGACACAGGGCGAAAGCCUGAUCCAGCCAUGGCGGGUGUGUGAAGAAGGUCUUCGGAUUGGAAAGCACUUUAAGUUGGGAGGAAGGGCAGUAAGUUAAUACCUUGCUGUGUUGACGUUACCAACAGAAUAGGCACCGGCUAACUUGGUG